rnacentral:lncRNA from 1 species
AAUGCUCCAUUUUUGGAAUUUGAUUAUUUCUACAAAGUAUCUGUCAUGAUUCUGUUCAGAGCUUAACUGACCAAAAUGACAGUUUUAAGGAAAUAGGUUUAAUAUUCUGCCUAUCACUGGUACUGUCUUCUGGUUUUUCCUGGAAGUCUACUUAUUUGAAAAGAUCCUUAUAUGAAGAAGGUGGUGUUUUGAAAUUGGAAGCAGGAAAACAUUCUUAUAUACUAGUUAGUUCUAUGACACAAAUUCAUUUCAUCAUGUUAGAAAAAUAAAACUUUGAAAAGAAUCUGUUAGACACACUUAUGAAUUCACAAAUUGAUGAAUUAUUGAUUAUGACUAUCAACACAGAAAACAAAGUUAUAGAAAAGGUUACUUUAAAAUCCAUGUUCAAAAUGCAGUAUAAUCAUCACAGAAAUAAUUAUAGGAAAGCUAAAACGUUAAAAAAGGCAUAACAAUUGCACUGGUUCUGAUUCGUCCUUCUGGCAGUUGCUGAGACAGCUGCUAUACAUGAAAAUGCAUGCUUCUUGAAAUGCUGUGUGGGUAUCUGACAGGAGAAAAAAGCUUAAUGUUAACACAUAAAAUGUAAGAGUGACAAAGAUGGUUCUUUAGAAACAGGCAUAGAAGAGAGCACAUUGCAUAAGAAGUACUCAAUCCCCAAAGAGUUCAGUUACAGAAAGAAGUAGGCUAUGACCAUUUGAAAAGUGUACUCUGGAAGCAAUGCAGAUAUUCAGAAUACAGUGGUGAUACUCAGGAGUAAAAUAAUUUCUGUAUGCAGAAACUGCAUCAGUUCAAAGAAAAAGUUUAAUUUUUCUAACCUAUUAUUUGAAAUAACUUUUUGAAGUUGAUCAAAUAUUGUUUUAAACAAAGAAUUUUUGAUCAGUUGUUUUGAAAAUCUUUGACACUACUGUGUUUUAGUCCUAUAUAUGAAUUAGAAAGGUGAUGUAUGAUUAAUACCUUCAGAAAAAAUCCUACAUUGAAAAUCUUUAAAUGAUUUUAAAUGUGUCCAUUUGCCUUAAAUGGCUUUCUAAAGGAUUUCAAGUAAUUUCAUUUGAAAACUUGUGAAGAAUUAAAAGCUUUAUUUAUUCUGUAUUUAGUUAAUUAUAGGUAAGCAAAGCUGCUGGAGCAUGUGACAGUUUUAAGGUCUAAGUUUAAAGUUUAAGUUUAACUCUGCACAUCUGCCUGACAUAGACACACAUCAAGUUGUUAUGCAUAACUCUUAACUAAUUAGUAGUCUCAACAUGUCUCUGAAGUAUAAGUGCAAGAUUAAAUGUUGGCCUAGAAUUGAUGGGGAAGAGAAAGAGUUACCUCUUUAGCCAAUGAGCAUGCAGAUGAGAAAAAAAGAAUGAUAUUUCUGUGUGUGUUUGUUUGUUUGUUUGUUAAUAAUUGAGUGGGGAGGGAACAUGAAUUUGAUUUGAGUUGCUUGAAUUCUGUCUCAACUCUCCAAAAAGAAGCAUAACAUAUCUGUUCUCUUGGCGGUCCUGUCAAAGGAAAGGUAGAGUUCUUUACAUUGUCUUAGAAGUUCCUGGAUUCUGAGCUAAUCCUGUAGCAAUCAAACUUAUUUCUGUAUAUUUCCUCUUUAUAAAAUGAGCUGGUAGAUUUUUUUUAGCAUAAAAAGUCAUAAGUUGACCACUGUUUCUUUUCUUCUUCAAUUUUAGGAGAAAAUAGGGAAAAAAUAAACAAGCAAAAAACAACCAUAUUUUUGUUUUUUGUCUUUCUGUUUGUGAUUGUAAGCUUUGUAAGGUAUAGUCCUCCAUAUUUUAUACUUAUUUUGCUCUAGGAGAAUAUUUAUCUCUCAAAAUGCUGCACUAGAUGGUUUAAAACAUGUAUCAGCCCUUUAUUAAAUAUCUGAAAUAAAGAGACAGAAUGCAGCAAUGAAACAAUGUCAGAACAAAGUGAGACUUUAUAUUUCAAGCCUGGUAGCUCACCAGAGGUCCUGGUAAGGACCCAGCUCAUCUUCAAAUGCACCUGGUCUUGGAAGUAAUACCGCACAGUACCUAUGCCUAUACUAGUAGCUCUGACUAAAAACUGUAAAUCUUUUUUGUCGCCAUAUAUUGUGUGAAACAAUCAAUCUCAAUUCCUUGAGAUGCGAACUUAAAGGAAGAAAAAACUUUCAAAAGCAGUAAAUCAACUUCAAAUGGAUAUUCCAGCCAGAGCAGAGUUCAGCAAGUAAAAUGUAUCCGUGCUGAAAAAUGUAUUGGGUAACAUAAAGACCUUUAGGAGGCACAAAUUUCUGAUUUGUGAAUGCUUCAGAUGAAGUCUGUAUGUUUUUAAGAUAAAGAUUGCUGGUAUUGUGGUUCCGUGUAUUUAGUCGAUUGCCCUUUUUCUUACUAGACUUACCUGGUACUUCAUAUUGAUUAGUAAUUUUAUUCAUACCCUCUUUAGUCUACCUCCUUGUCCUGCUUCACCUUGUUUCUUUAAUGCAUUACUGCUUUUAAGAGGAAUCACUGGCAAAAGCAUGGUUCCACCAAAGUGAUUAUUAUUUUGCUGUACUUAAUACAUAGCUGUCAAAUAUUCUCCAGCUUCUUUCUUCUUCAACUUGUUAUGUAUAUAGGUCAUCUCAUCUCAUCUGAGAAUAAUUCAGAAUGCUACAGAUGCUUAUUAUGAAAUGUAGGAAUGUUGCUGAGGAAGGAAAUACAACUUCAUUGUCCUACUAAUGUGAAAAUUGUUGCCAACAAUUAAUAGCUAAACAAAUCUCAUUUUAAAUAAGCUGUAUCUUUUUAAUUUGUUAGCACAAGAACAUUUUUGAUUUGUAUUAACUUCUUUAGCCUCUUGAUUUCUUUGAACCUUUUAAAUCCUCUUGUUUUGAUACCGUCUGACCUCUUUGCUGUUGCAGAAGUUAUAAUGCCUCUCUCUUCAUUUCCUAAUGCUAACGUUAUAUUGUUUACUGUCUUCAGAAUUUUUGCUGCUACUUAAUUCUGUGAUUCUACAAGCAUGUGGUUUACUCAUUUUUCCCACUGUUGAUGUUGGGAUUCAUCUUCACUGUUUCAUUGUGUAGGUACCAUUUGUAGCCUUUAGAAAACAUAUAUUAUUAAUGCCAUAUUUUUACAUAUGGUACUUGGAAAUAAAUUAAAGUUCACCUUUGCCCUCAAAAUCAAUAUAUCCUCUGGUCCUCUUUUCUGUGCUCUGUCAACCUCUUAAAAUAAAAUAAAAGAACAAACAAAAAAAAAACAUUCUCCCAAGAGACAAGUAGAAAAAAAUAAUGUAAAAACGGAAAUGAAAGGCAAGAAAUUAACCUAAGCUAUUGUUUCAAUGUCCACUUCUGUAUACACAUUCAUGUAAACAGUAUGUGAACUGGGUUGUUCUUGAUGUAUUAACUGUUGAUCAGCUGAGGAUUAUAGGGAAUCAUCAUCCUGGAAUUUGAGACUUGCAGAGAACUUUUGUCUAUUUACUAGACAUAGGAGAGUUUUGAGGUAUGUUGAUUGAGA